GCCGCCUUAGCUCAGUCGGUAGAGCACUUCCAUGGUAAGGAAGGGGUCACCGGUUCAAGUCCGGUAGGCGGCU
rnacentral:tRNA from 1 species